rnacentral:rRNA from 1 species
UACGAAGGAGGAUAGCGUUGUUGGGAAUUACUGGGCGUAAAGCGCGCGUAGGCGGUUUUGCAAGCCAGAGGUGAAAUGUCUGAGCUCAACUUAGGAAUUGCCUCUGGGACUGUGAGACUUCGAGGACUGGAGAGGUGAGUGGAAUUCCCAGUGUAGAGGUGAAAUUCGUAGAUAUUGGGAAGAACCCAGGUGGCGAAGGCGGCUCACUGGCCAGUUUCUGACGCUGUAGCGCGAAAGCGUGGGGAUCAAACAGG